GACAGAGGUCCCGAGCGUUAGGCGGAAUCACUGGGCUUAAAGCGUGUGUAGGCGGAUUUGUAAGUACCUUGUGAAAUCCCACGGCUCAACCGUGGAACUGCUUGGUAUACUGGCGAUCUUGAGCCACUUAGGGGUUACCGGAACAAACGGUGGAGCGGUGAAAUGCGUAGAUAUCGUUUGGAACGCCAAUGGUGAAAACAGGUAACUGGGAGUGCGCUGACGCUGAGACACGAAAGCCAGGGGAGCGAACGGG
rnacentral:rRNA from 1 species